UACGUAGGGUGCGAGCGUUGUCCGGAAUUAUUGGGCGUAAAGGGCUCGUAGGCGGUCUGUUGCGUCAGGAGUGAAAACUCGGGGCUUAACCCCGAGCCUGCUUCUGAUACGGGCAGACUAGAGGUAUGCAGGGGAGAACGGAAUUCCUGGUGUAGCGGUGAAAUGCGUAGAUAUCUGGAGGAACACCGGUGGCGAAGGCGGCAUUCUGGACCGACAUUGACGCUGAGGAGCGAAAGCCAGGGGAGCAAACGGG
rnacentral:rRNA from 1 species